AUGAACUUACGAUGUUAGCCGGGCUCUCCAUUUGUAUCUUAAAAUUGUUCAAAUGUAAUGAAUAUUGCUUCAAUUGAUGAUUAAUGAUUUUAUUUUAGUGUUAAUAAAUGCUGAGAAAGACAAUCAAAAUUAAAACCUUCGUGAGAGUUUAAAAUAUUCACCAAAAUUGAUAAAGAAAGAUAAUAAAUGUGUGUUGAAGAGUUAUCUCCCGUAGUAGAACUCUCCAUACAAAAAAGGGGGAAAAUGAUAUUGCAACAUUGCAGGGGCAGAAGAACAAUGUGAUUUCAGCAAUUUUUCAAACAUUUCAAGCAGUGAUGGCCCAAUAAAUUCAUUUAGAAGAAUACACUAAGGAUCUGUCAAACCAUUUGCGUUUACUCAAAUCUCCGAACAUACCCUAGCUGGAUUGUAUGGAAAAUUUAUGAUGUGCCAGAGGCGAUCGGUUUGCUGCAUUCUGUAGGCCUAUAGAAAUGGUUUUUUUUUUCCAUUGACACUACUAGCACAUUAAAAUUAUAAGUAUGCCAAAGACAAUCAAGGAUUAAAAUGGCAAAGAACUAAGUCAAAGUGCUUCCGUCCCGAUCAAAAGGAAGAAAGCAAAAGCAGACCGAUGGGCUACCCCUACCUUUUGUAAAGAAUACUGGUUGAAAAUGAGGGAGACAAUAUACCAGUUGGAUCAGCAACAGUUGUCCAUGUGCUGCAGUAUUUAUUGGAUCCAACCAAAUCAGAAGAGAAAACCCAGAAGCAAAUUCAUAUGGUAAUACAGGGUUUUCUAAGAGAGGAGGAUCACAGGAGUGGAACUGUUUCAUUUACCCAACACCUUGAACUGACUGAUCAAGGGAAAUAUGAAGCAGUUUACAGAUGAAAGUUCUGCUGGAAGCACAGAGAUUAAUACUGAACAAUACAUGUAUUACCUCUGUCCGGACUCAUCAUAACAGAAAGUAUUUUCAAAAUGUUGCAAUCACGAAAAAUUUCUUGGAGUUGGAAAUCAGUCUUACAGAAAUUGAAGAUCAAGUAGGAACACUGCAGCAAAUUUAUAUGCUACAAAAUGUGAAAGCAUUAGAGAGUCUCAAAAUUUAUUGAUACAAACAUUCAAAUCAGGUAGAGUUGAUGAUGAAGUCCAGAGAGAGCCAACAGGAGAAAGCAUGGGUUUGGCACUGGAGAGCAGAAGAAAGCAAUACAAUUCUCCAAGAAAGAAAAGAACUCCUUGUGCAUGAUAUGCGAAGAAUGUGACAGAACAGGAAAAUGCCCCAAUAGUGUCUAAUUGGCAGAUGAGCUAAGAAAGUAAAUGAUAAAAAUGGUGAAAGACUUUUUAAGAAAGACAAAUGGCUAAAUAUUUCACAAGUAAGAGGAUGUAUUGCCUCAUAUAUUAGUCAAUAAAAUCUAAGAGUUUCUCUGUACCUCCCUCUGUAAAAAAUCAAUUGUUGUCUGAAAGGUGUUUUGAAGAUGUUUGUAUUGAUGAAGAUGAAAAACUUGCAGAGAUUGUUUCUGCUUUUGGCUCAAAUGAAUAUGAAGAUCAAAUGACUUGUAUGGUUUACAUCUGUAAAUAUUCAGUAAAAUUAUAACCUGUAUAAUCACAUAUUUUGAAAGAGAGGAAUCGAGGAUUCAGAAAAAAAAAUAUUGAUAUGUGCAAAUUUUGAUUUUAUUUUGCAGUUGUUGAAGUGUUGAGUAGUAAUUAAGCAUAAACAUUUUAUAUUUCAUGAUAGUCAUAAAUUUGUGGGUCUCUCCAUGCCCCAAAUACAUUGAAAAUUAACCCCCCCUCCCCACACACACACACAAAUUAGAACCUUGGAAAUUAAAGGUUCCAAUAUACUGAACCAUGGAAUU